rnacentral:rRNA from 1 species
GACGAACGCUGGCGGCGUGCUUAACACAUGCAAGUCGAACGAUGAAGCCUAGCUUGCUAGGUGGAUUAGUGGCGAACGGGUGAGUAAUACGUGAGUAACCUACCUUUAACUCUGGGAUAAGCCCGGGAAACUGGGUCUAAUACCGGAUACGACCAAUCUCCGCAUGGGGUGUUGGUGGAAAGCGUUAUGUAGUGGUUAUAGAUGGGCUCACGGCCUAUCAGCUUGUUGGUGAGGUAACGGCUCACCAAGGCGACGACGGGUAGCCGGCCUGAGAGGGUGACCGGCCACACUGGGACUGAGACACGGCCCAGACUCCUACGGGAGGCAGCAGUGGGGAAUAUUGCACAAUGGGCGCAAGCCUGAUGCAGCGACGCCGCGUGAGGGAUGACGGCCUUCGGGUUGUAAACCUCUGUUAGCAGGGAAGAA